AUCCUUGUGCACGGGCAAGAUCAGCAGCAGUGAAGACUAGUCUGAGCUCUGAUUUUUGCUAGUUGAAAACUACAACUACAUUGACGCUCCCGUCCUGCCUUUGCGGGUCGGGGAAUUUUUGGAAAUUAUCGCGAUGU
rfam:Tuber melanosporum whole genome shotgun sequence assembly, scaffold_45, strain Mel28